ACGUGAAUCAGCCAAGUUGAAGAUCAUCUCCUCCAUCCACAAGCCCAGAGAAACAGCCUUGCCAGAGUCCUGGAUCAAAACAUAGAAAGCACGUCAAAUUAGUUUUCAUACCUGGUUUUAACUUUCCACAGAAGUGACAGGUGAAGCCUCAUGCUAACACAAGCUAAGCCAUUGUGCGCUCCCAUUCUAUGGCAGCUACGUAACUAGCCGCUAACUCCUCCGUUUGGCAGCGGAUCAAGCUGCAUGUGUCAGCCAGAGCCCGUGGCAACUAUUUGCUUUCAUUGCAUGGAAAAAGCACUUCCAAUUUUCUUCAAAGCAUCUCCUUUUGUGUUCCACGGAAGAAACAUCAUCAGGCUUUGGAACGACAUGCGGGAGAGUAAAUGAUGAUGACUAGUAAAUAAUUCUGUUCCUUUAACCCUUAAAACGUGCCUGGUGCCACUUCACCUUUGACCUUGACCGAGAACGGUCAAUUUCACACUGCAGUGCCAAAAUCAGGACUGUGGGCAGAAGAGGGGGGACUGACGGCUGUCCGAUGCUCAGAUCACACUAACACACUCCUCCAAUGGUCGGCGUGUUGCGGAGGGGAGCGGAGAAAGGUUCUGACCUCCUGAGAGAGCAGAGAGAGACGCCUGACGCCAGGAGCCAGACCGCGGAUAAUGGGG